rnacentral:rRNA from 1 species
GAUUUCUGGACUGAAGCAUUUAGCCGGCCGCGGUUUCGCGUGUUAGUGCUGGAUGCUCUGUCCAUCCUUCCAAUCGCUAUUGGCUAUUCUUCAUUGAAUGGUCAGUAGUAUUGGAUCUUUUACUUUGAAAAAAUUAGAGUGUUUUAAGCAGGCGUUUUGCUAUGAAUACAUUAGCAUGGAAUAAUGAGUUAGGACUCCUGUUCUAUUUUGUUGGUUUCUAGGACUGAAGUAAUGAUUGAUAGGGAUAGUUGGGGGUGCUAGUAUUCAGCGGCCAGAGGUGAAAUUCUCGGAUUCGCUGAAGACUAACUUAUGCGAAAGCAUU